GCACAGCAACCGGGGUGUACUUAAGUACAUGAGGAUUGCGAGCACUGCCCAACGUCGGAUCAACACGAGCGCAGCACGUUUUUUUCCGCUGAGAGCACACCCGUCGAACCUGAUCCGGUCAAUACCGGCGGAGGGAUUUGAGUACCGCGUCGC
rnacentral:ncRNA from 1 species